CUACUCACUUUGGCAGCACAUAUGUUAAAAUUGGAAAGAUACAGAGCAGAUCAGCAUGGCCCCUGCACAAGGGUGACAUGCAAAUUCAUGAAGCAUUCCAUAUUUUU
rnacentral:snRNA from 1 species